CCUACGGGUGGCUGCAGUGGGGAAUAUUGGACAAUGGGGGCAACCCUGAUCCAGCCAUGCCGCGUGUGUGAAGAAGGCCCUCGGGUUGUAAAGCACUUUCAGUGAGGAAGAACGCCUGGUGGUUAAUACCCAUCAGGAAAGACAUCACUCACAGAAGAAGCACCGGCUAACUCCGUGCCAGCAGCCGCGGUAAUACGGAGGGUGCGAGCGUUAAUCGGAAUUACUGGGCGUAAAGCGCGCGUAGGUGGCUUGAUAAGCCGGUUGUGAAAGCCCCGGGCUCAACCUGGGAACGGCAUCCGGAACUGUCAAGCUAGAGUGCAGGAGAGGAAGGUAGAAUUCCCGGUGUAGCGGUGAAAUGCGUAGAGAUCGGGAGGAAUACCAGUGGCGAAGGCGGCCUUCUGGACUGACACUGUCACUGAGGUGCGAAAGCGUGGGUAGCAAACAGGAUUAGAUACCCGUGUAGUC
rnacentral:rRNA from 1 species